GACGAACGCUGGCGGCGUGCUUAACACAUGCAAGUCGAACGGAAAGGCCCUGCUUUUGUGGGGUGCUCGAGUGGCGAACGGGUGAGUAACACGUGAGUAACCUGCCCUUGAUUUUGGGAUAACUUCAGGAAACUGGGGCUAAUACCGGAUAGGAGCUCCUGCUGCAUGGUGGGGGUUGGAAAGUUUCGGCGGUUGGGGAUGGACUCGCGGCUUAUCAGCUUGUUGGUGGGGUAGUGGCUUACCAAGGCUUUGACGGGUAGCCGGCCUGAGAGGGUGACCGGCCACAUUGGGACUGAGAUACGGCCCAGACUCCUACGGGAGGCAGCAGUGGGGAAUAUUGCACAAUGGGCGGAAGCCUGAUGCAGCAACGCCGCAUGCGGGAUGACGGCCUUCGGGUUGUAAACCGCUUUCGCCUGUGACGAAGCGUGAGUGACGGUAAUGGGUAAAGAAGCACCGGCUAACUACGUG
rnacentral:rRNA from 1 species